UCCUACGGGAGGCAGCAGUGAGGAAUAUUGGUCAAUGGGCGAGAGCCUGAACCAGCCAAGUAGCGUGCAGGAUGACGGCCCUAUGGGUUGUAAACUGCUUUUAUAAGGGAAUAAAAGUGAGUCUCGUGAGGCUUUUGCAUGUACCUUAUGAAUAAGGACCGGCUAAUUCCGUGC
rnacentral:rRNA from 1 species